rnacentral:rRNA from 1 species
GAUGAACGCUAGCGGGAGGCCUAACACAUGCAAGCCGAGCGGUAGAGUCUCUUCGGAGACUUGAGAGCGGCGCACGGGUGCGGAACACGUGUGCAACCUGCCUUUAUCUGGGGGAUAGCCUUUCGAAAGGAAGAUUAAUACCCCAUAAUAUACUGGAUGGCAUCAUCUGGUAUUGAAAACUCCGGUGGAUAGAGAUGGGCACGCGCAAGAUUAGAUAGUUGGUGAGGUAACGGCUCACCAAGUCUACGAUCUUUAGGGGGCCUGAGAGGGUGAUCCCCCACACUGGUACUGAGACACGGACCAGACUCCUACGGGAGGCAGCAGUGAGGAAUAUUGGACAAUGGGUGAGAGCCUGAUCCAGCCAUCCCGCGUGAAGGACGACGGCCCUAUGGGUUGUAAACUUCUUUUGUAUAGGGAUAAACCUAGAUACGUGUAUCUAGCUGAGGGUACUAUACGAAUAAGCACCGGCUAACUCCGUGCCAGCAGCCGCGGUAAUACGGAGGGUGCAAGCGUUAUCCGGAUUUAUUGGGUUUAAAGGGUCCGUAGGCUGAUUUGUAAGUCAGUGGUGAAAUCUCACAGCUUAACUGUGAAACUGCCAUUGAUACUGCAAGUCUUGAGUGUUGUUGAAGUAGCUGGAAUAAGUAGUGUGGCGGUGAAAUGCAUAGAUAUUACUUAGAACACCAAUUGCGAAGGCAGGUUACUAAGCAACAACUGACGCUGAUGGACGAAAGCGUGGGGAGCGAACAGGAUUAGAUACCCUGGUAGUCCACGCCGUAAACGAUGCUAACUCGUUUUUGGGUUUUCGGAUUCAGAGACUAAGCGAAAGUGAUAAGUUAGCCACCUGGGGAGUACGAACGCAAGUUUGAAACUCAAAGGAAUUGACGGGGGCCCGCACAAGCGGUGGAUUAUGUGGUUUAAUUCGAUGAUACGCGAGGAACCUUACCAAGGCUUAAAUGGGAAAUGACAGGUUUAGAAAUAGACUUUUCUUCGGACAUUUUUCAAGGUGCUGCAUGGUUGUCGUCAGCUCGUGCCGUGAGGUGUUAGGUUAAGUCCUGCAACGAGCGCAACCCCUGUCACUAGUUGCCAUCAUUAAGUUGGGGACUCUAGUGAGACUGCCUACGCAAGUAGAGAGGAAGGUGGGGAUGACGUCAAAUCAUCACGGCCCUUACGCCUUGGGCCACACACGUAAUACAAUGGCCGGUACAGAGGGCAGCUACACAGUGAUGUGAUGCAAAUCUCGAAAGCCGGUCUCAGUUCGGAUUGGAGUCUGCAACUCGACUCUAUGAAGCUGGAAUCGCUAGUAAUCGCGCAUCAGCCAUGGCGCGGUGAAUACGUUCCCGGGCCU